ACUGCUCAGUAACACGUGGAUAACGUGCCCUUAAGAGGAGGAUAAUCUCGGGAAACUGAGGAUAAUACUCCAUAGUUCAUGGAAUCUGGAAUGAUCCAUGGAUGAAAGUUCCGGCGCUUAAGGAUCGGUCUGCGGCCUAUCAGGUCGUAGUGGGUGUAACGUACCUACUAGCCUAUGACGGGUAUGGGCCUUGAGAGAGGGAGCCCAGAGUUGGAUUCUGAGACACGAAUCCAGGCCCUACGGGGCGCAGCAGUCGCGAAAACUUCACAAUGGGGGCAACCCCGAUGAGGGAAUUCCUAAUGCUAGCACAUUUGUGUUAGCUUUUCUUUAGCGUAGAUAACUAGAGGAAUAAGGGCUGGGAAAGACGGGUGCCAGCCGCCGCGGUAAUACCUGCAGCCCAAGUGGUGGUCGAGUUUAUUGAGUCUAAAACGUUCGUAGCCGGUUCGGUAAAUCUUUGGGUAAAUCGGGGGGCUUAACCUUCCGACUUCCGAGGAGACUGCCGAACUUGGGACCGGGAGAGGCUAGAGGUACUUCUGGGGUAGGGGUAAAAUCCUGUAAUCCUAGAAGGACCACCGGUGGCGAAGGCGUCUAGCUAGAACGGAUCCGACGGUGAGGGACGAAGCCCUGGGUCGCAAACGGGAUUAGAUACCCCGGUAGUCCAGGGUGUAAACGCUGCAGACUUGGUGUUGGGGGCCCUUUGGGGGCAUUCAGUGCCGGAGAGAAGUUGUUAAGUCUGCUACUUGGGGAGUACGUCCGCAAGGAUGAAACUUAAAAGAAUUGGCGGGGGAGCAC
rnacentral:rRNA from 1 species